AGAUUGAACGCUGGCGGCAUGCCUUACACAUGCAAGUCGAACGGCAGCACGGGAGCAAUCCUGGUGGCGAGUGGCGAACGGGUGAGUAAUAUAUCGGAACGUGCCCAGUCGUGGGGGAUAACGCAGCGAAAGCUGUGCUAAUACCGCAUACGAUCUCUGGAUGAAAGCGGGGGACUCGCAAGGGCCUCGCGCGAUUGGAGCGGCCGAUAUCAGAUUAGCUAGUUGGUGGGGUAAAGGCCCACCAAGGCGACGAUCUGUAGCUGGUCUGAGAGGACGACCAGCCACACUGGAACUGAGACACGGUCCAGACUCCUACGGGAGGCAGCAGUGGGGAAUUUUGGACAAUGGGCGCAAGCCUGAUCCAGCAAUGCCGCGUGCAGGAUGAAGGCCUUCGGUUGUAAACUGCUUUUGUACGGAACGAACGGUACCUUUACUAAUACAAGGGCUAAUGACGGUACCGUAAGAAUAAGCACCGGCUAACUACGU
rnacentral:rRNA from 1 species